AUUGAACGCUGGCGGCAUGCCUUACACAUGCAAGUCGAACGGCAGCAUGGAGAGCUUGCUCUCUGAUGGCGAGUGGCGAACGGGUGAGUAGAGCAUCGGAACGUACCGUGUAGUGGGGGAUAACGUAGCGAAAGUUACGCUAAUACCGCAUACGCACUGAGGUGGAAAGCAGGGGAUCGUAAGACCUUGCGCUAUACGAGCGGCCGAUGUCAGAUUAGCUAGUUGGUAGGGUAAAGGCCUACCAAGGCGACGAUCUGUAGCGGGUAUGAGAGGAUGAUCCGCCACACUGGGACUGAGACACGGCCCAGACUCCUACGGGAGGCAGCAGUGGGGAAUUUUGGACAAUGGGGGCAACCCUGAUCCAGCCAUGCCGCGUGAGUGAAGAAGGCCUUCGGGUUGUAAAGCUCUUUCGGCCGGGAAGAAAUCGCACAGGCUAAUACCCUGUGUGGAUGACGGUACCGGCAUAAGAAGCACCGGCUAACUACGUGCCAGCCGCCGCAGUAA
rnacentral:rRNA from 1 species